CAUAUCUAUGGCGGUUGUGUGUAUCGCACUUGUGGACGGCCACCCAGGAACAAAGAGAUAAUAGACAACCUUGCUCAUUAGCUUACCGUACAGCCACAUGCUAUAUGGGCUCUGGCUUGACGGAGUAUGUUGUGUGAAUCUGGGCCCUACGUGACAUGAUGAUGUAGGGGAAUGUAGGUUGGAGCGGGUCCGUAGAGAAAGGUCUGGGUGAUCACUUCGGAAAAGUCUCGUCCUAGUCAACAUCUGUCCAUUUGAGCAAAAUGUGCAUCAUGGAAGAAGAGCAGACUAGGUCAUGUGGGUAAAUUUGUACAACCUCUGCAGAGUGUAAAUCUAAGUACUUAGCCGUGUCCCCGGUUAUGGACAAUUUGAGCGAACUGACAAGGCACAUGUUCGAAAGUCUCCUCGUCCCAACUUCUUAAAUAAAACUUGAUGGGUGAACAGGGAAAUGACAAUUGGUGUAAGUGACUAUCGGCUAGUAGGUCCCGUGCCAUGUCUAUGGUCUGAGUCUACAGGGGUAGUUCGCCCAAACCAAGUUGAUCAUGGGUAGGAGGAUUCACCGGGGAUUUACCGGUGGUUUCCAGGGUUCAUUGAUUUCUAUCAAUGGUACCGCUUAAUUAGUAUGAAAGAAAAAUGAUUUCACAAAUCAUAGGAGAAAACUGGCUUUAUGCAAAUAUGCCUGAGCUCUACCAGCCAAAUGUACACUUAAGUGUUAGGUUGCCAUUUGAGUCCACUAUAGUGUCAUCUUGCCAAUACAUUCAAAGUAUUGACCAUUCGUGGCUGUAACUUUUCAUGUUGCAGAUGUUUUGAAAGAUGAGUGAGUUACGAUGGUUAGGGUUACGAGUCUAUCCUCAACAUGCUCGCCUGUGGCACAUGAAGACGAAGGACUCCAUGCUGUCUAUGUUUAUUCGUUGUGAAACUCUGAUGAUAUGCUAGCCUUGUGCUAUGCAAUUUGUAAUCCUUUAUGUAAAUUCUGGAUCAUACGAUGUAAUAAAGACCUUUAUUUCUUGGUAUUA